GGCAGGGCCAGGGCAGGGUAGGGGCACGGGCGGCUGCCCCGGGCGCCCGGCAGGUACCGCGGGGCAGGGCUGCCGAAGGGCGGCGAGCAGCUAUUUCUGCUGCAGCUUCCUGUCCUUGACCUAGCGAUACAUUGUGAAGUUCUCCUGAGUCAAUGAAUCCUGGUAAAAUGCAGUAAAGGAUUUAAGGUUAUCGUCUGUCUCUCUCUAACUUCUGACAUCUCUUUAUAACAAGAAAGAGUCACAGCCAACUGUAACAGGAGGGCAACACAAUGAAUCCUGAGGAACAUACUGUCCAUAAAUGAGAAGGUUUUUAAAGCACUCUGAUGACUGGAAAGAUACGCAAGUACAACUGAUAUCCCCUGAUGACAUUUGCUUACUUUGACUGCUUGCACAAGAUAGACAGUCAUGUGCAUGAGCACAGCAAAAAGGAGCAGCAUACAUGCUGCAGAACUGGAAAAUACUUUUCAGAAUCCACAACUUUCUCAUGGAGAGGUGCACAUCCAGUGGCCAGAUGUCACUGCAGUCAGCUGUGGCCACUCCACCAUUUCCAAGCUGGAAAUGAGUGUCUGAACAUCCUGCCCACUAAUCCACUGCAGUGCCUGUGUUCUGGCUGUUCUCUUGGCUUCUCAGCCAGAAGAAUAUCCUGAAGCAAAUUACUGUCAAAAGCCAAAAAAAGUAUUCAUAAUUCAUCCUAACGCCCUGUCAACUUUAAAGUAAUUUUUUUCUGCUUUAUGAGUUCUGGCUGAAGUGGUGUUUUAUGAGAAAUUGGAGCUGCAUGUCACAGUACCUUUUUUCCAUGGGUUAAGGGAGACUGUUCUAACACUCCCAGAUUCUGCUGCCCAGUCAUUCUCUCUUUGUAAUUAGCAUGAAGACUACCCUUCAGUCAAAACUAGCCACCUGGAAAGUUUCAGCUUGUAAUAUGCAGCUUUUUUUGUGAAUUAUGAAUGUGCAAAAAAGAGACCUUUCUCCUUACACCCACUUCCUUGCAUAAUUCAAAUAUGAAUGAAUGAAUUUUAUUCAGCCUUGCCAAAAAAAAAAAAAAUCAGCUGAUAACAAGCAUGAAAAAUUUCAGAUGAAAGGGAGGUUUUUUUUUUUUUUAAGAAUAUUCUGAGCAUGGGAGAACAGCAGGUUAAGAUAGAAGUCUCAGCGCAGCCUUAACUAUAACAAUUGCUAUCAAGCAAAUACCAUAUCCAAGCACUAAAUCUUGCUUUGUGCUGCCCUGGUGCACAGUAGCAGGGACAGAGUAGAAUAAUAAAAGCUGGUCCCCUUAUGCAAACAGCAAGGCACAGCACUUGACAGAAUACGAGAAGAAGGUGAGCCUGCCUACUGCUCUGGCUUGCUAACCGUAUUCCCAAGGUCUGUGGGUUGGUUGUCACCUCUAGCUCCAGUCAGAUAGCAAAAGGUACUUCAAACACUAGCAAAGGGAAUGUUUUGGUCCAUUCCAGAAGAACAUUUUACUAAUUCCUUGCCUCCAAGUGUACUAUUCUAUUAAAUAAAGUAUUUGAAGGAA